rnacentral:rRNA from 1 species
CCUACGGGAGGCAGCAGUGAGGAAUAUUGGUCAAUGGGCGCGAGCCUGAACCAGCCAAGUAGCGUGAAGGAUGACUGCCCUACGGGUUGUAAACUUCUUUUAUAAAGGAAUAAAGUGAGGCACGUGUGCCUUUUUGUAUGUACUUUAUGAAUAAGGAUCGGCUAACUCCGUGCCAGCAGCCGCGGUAAUACGGAGGAUCCGAGCGUUAUCCGGAUUUAUUGGGUUUAAAGGGAGCGUAGAUGGGUUGUUAAGUCAGUUGUGAAAGUUUGCGGCUCAACCGUAAAAUUGCAAUUGAUACUGGCAGAAUUGAGUACAGUUGAGGUAGGCGGAAUUCGUGGUGGAGCGGUGAAAUGAUUAGAUAUCACGAAGAACUCCGAUGGCGAAGGCAGAUGACUAAACUGCCACUGACAUUGAUGCUCGAAAGUGGGGGUAUAAAACAGGAUUAGAUACCCUAGUAGUC